GCCUCUUUAGCUCAGCUGGUAGAGCAACUGACUUGUAAUCAGUAGGUCGCUGGUUCGAUCCCGGCAAGGGGGC
rnacentral:tRNA from 1 species